AUCGUUCUUUUUUCAAAGGUACAAAGCUGCCAUCAAAGCUGAUCCUUUGUGUUACGAGGCCUUGGUGCUGAAGAUGGUUGGCUCUCUUCAUUCUAUUCUUGCUUGGUAAAGAAGG